rnacentral:lncRNA from 1 species
UGUAACAAUAAGACGAAGUGCAAUAAGUGUGAAAGAAAUCAUAAUAAUUCAUUGCAUUUCAAUGAAUUCCAAAAAGGAAAAGGAGGAAGUGAUGAGAAUAUCACAAAAACGUCUCCCACAAUGAUGACGAAACAUUCGGAAACAGCAAAGAUCAGAGUGAAGGCAGCAAAUGGAGAGUACGUGACACUGUGAGCUCUAAUCGAUCAAGGAUCCCAAAAGACUACUAUUUCCGACGAAACAGCUCAGCUGAAAUACUUCAUUUAUCAAAAAAAGAGAAGUACUGACUACAAGGCUUAGGCAAUACCACAGUGGCAGUAUCCAAAUUUAAAAUUGAAAUAAAGCAAGAUUACUUUGCAACGAAGCAUACAAUGUCGAAGCACUAAUUUGGCCGAAAUUAGCGAGUGCCCAACCAGACAAAACGUUUAAAUAGGAUGUAGAACAACUGAAAAACUAAACUUUAGCUGAUCCCAAUUUCAACAAAUUUAAUCGAAGCGAUAUCGUCAUUGGAAGUGACAUACAUAUAUGCCGAUAUACUAGAGAAUGUAUAAUUAAAAAGAAACGAAUGCUAGAUCAAACUACGAAAUUGGGCUGGAUAUUGUCGGGAAUUUUACAACAACCGAGAAAAAUCAAUAAAAUUUUAACAGCAGAUUAUGAUGAAUGUUUACAAAUUUAUUAAAAAAAAAAACAUUGAGAUAUGCAAAUAAUCGAUUUGUCGUCAAUCUACUUUUUAAACAAGAAAAAGAAUUGGGAGAUUCUCGCAAACAAGCUAUAGUGAGGUUUCUUAAUAUUGAGAAAAGGUUCGCUACGGAUGACGAGUUAAGACAACAAUAUGUGCAAUUUAUGAGAGAAUAUUUAGAAAUGGGUCACAUUGAAAACGCAAGUGAAAAUAGAUACGGAAAAUACUAUUUGCCACAUUAAGCAGUGAUUCGAGAAAUAGUCUAACGACUAAAGUACUAGUAGUUUUCGAUGCGUUUGCAAAAACUACAAAUGGUGGUAGUUUAAGUGACAUUCUCUUCAUAGGACCGAGACUCCAAAAGAAUAUAUUUGACAUUAUAAUCAAAUGGAGACUUUGGCCAGUGAUAUUGAAAAGAUGUUUCGACAAAUUAAAAUAACAGAUAGUGAUCAAGAUUACCAACGUAUAUUGUGGAGAGCAACAAAAGGAGAGUCGAUAGAAGAAUAAAUACUACAAGCAGUUACAUAUGGGACAGCAUCAGCUCCUUUCUUGCCAACGAGAACUUUACAAGAAAUUGCCAAAUUAUGCGAACCCCACAACUAUUUGCUUUUAAGAAUCAUUAAAAACGACUUCUACAUGGACAAUUUAAUGACGGGAGCAGAUUCAAUAGAUGAAUGUAAGGCCCCUCAGUAUAAAAUAUACACAACAACCAAAAAAAAUGUGGAUUUAAGGAGUGGAUGUCAACCAACAGUGAAAUUCUACCAACAAUUCCAAUAAAUACAAAUAGCAGAAGACGAAAGAAUAAAGUAUUGGGUAUUCAAUGGGAUCCUACCAAAGACACAUUUGGAUUUAAUACGAAUUUUUCAACGUAAAAGCGUGUUAAAAAAUUUCGAAACCAAUGGGAUGACUUUCACCAAUAACCGUUAUAGCAAAGUUGUUUAUACAGAAUCUUUGGUUGAUGAAACUCAACAGGGACGAGUUACUUGAGGAGAACUUAGCAAAAGAAUGGCAAGAGUUAUGCACCAUAUAAAAGAGAUAAAACAAAUAAAAUAGAUGGUUCGAAACUAAAAGCAACUUUAAAUUUGAACUACAUGGAUUCCCAGAUGCUUCUGAUAAAGCUUAUGCAGCAGUUGUAUAUGCUAAAGUUGGAUCAAUUAUAAUAAUUGUUUCCGGUAAAACUAAAGUGAAUCCAAUUAAAAAUAAGAAAACNUUACCAAAACUGGAACUAUGCGCGGCUCACCUACUUGCUAAAUUGUUGCAAAGGAUAAAAACAGUUAUCAACAGAGAAGUAAAAAUAUUUGCUUCAACUCAACUAUAACGUUAGCAUGAGUAAAUAAUUCCCAAAGUAAUUUAUCAGAACAAGAGUAUAAGAAAUCAAAUUACUUGCUUCCGCUGCGAAAUGGCAGCACGUUGGAACAAAGGACAAUCCAGAGGGGUACUGGCGAAUAAACUAAUAGAACACGAUCUAUGGUGGAAGGGUCCAAAAUGGUUGCGAGAAGAGGAACAUCACUGGGCAAUGAAGAUUAUUCAAAUUGAUGCAACGUAUGUGACAGCCUCAAAGGAAUUACGUUUCUUUGAUAAGUACUUUUACACUAUUUUCGCCACUCGCUUCACUACUGCGGACCGCCGAAGAAUGUUGUCGUCGCAACGAACGUUCUUGUGAACCCUUUAAGGUCUGCUGGGUGGUGAAUACGCGUAACUGUAUGAAGUUGUCAUGUGUGCUGUCUUCGUGUGUGGUGUCUUCAUGUGCGGAUCGUGUUGGUGUGGUGUGUUAUCAUCCAGUCACGUGUGUUGAGGGGGGAGUUAACGCUCCCCCGUGACUAGACGACAUUAUCAAAUCUAAGAAUUUUGAAUCUCUUAAUUUUAAAUAUGACAUGAAUGAAUGAAAUCAGAGAAAUAAUAAGGUAGGAAAGAAUUAACGUAAAAAUAUCAUAUCUUAUUGAUGUUUCUGAAUUUCAAAUUGCACAAAAAAA